UAUGGUAUAACUUAGUGGCAGACGGGUGAGUAAUGUAUAGGAAUCUACCUAGUAGUACGGAAUAAUUGUUGGAAACGGCAACUAAUACCGUAUACGCCCUACGGGGGAAAAAUUUAUUGCUAUUAGAUGAGCCUAUAUUAGAUUAGCUAGUUGGUGGAGUAAUAGCCUACCAAGGCAAUGAUCUAUAGCUGAUCUGAGAGGAUGAUCAGCCACACUGGAACUGAGAUACGGUCCAGACUCCUACGGGAGGCAGCAGUGGGGAAUAUUGGACAAUGGGCAAAAGCCUGAUCCAGCCAUGCCGCAUGAGUGAAGAAGGCCUUUGGGUUGUAAAGCUCUUUUAGUGAGGAAGAUAAUGACGGUACUCACAGAAGAAGUCCUGGCUAACUCCGUGCCAGCAGCCGCGGUAAUACGGAGAGGGCUAGCGUUAUUCGGAAUUAUUGGGCGUAAAGGGCGCGUAGGCUGGUUAAUAAGUUAAAAGUGAAAUCCCGAGGCUUAACCUUGGAAUUGCUUUUAAAACUAUUAAUCUAGAGAUUGAAAGAGGAUAGAGGAAUUCCUGAUGUAGAGGUAAAAUUCGUAAAUAUUAGGAGGAACACCAGUGGCGAAGGCGUCUAUCUGGUUCAAAUCUGACGCUGAAGCGCGAAGGCGUGGGGAGCAAACAGGAUUAGAUACCCUGGUAGUCCACGCUGUAAACGAUGAAUGUUAAAUAUGGGAAGUUUACUUUCUGUAUUACAGCUAACGCGUUAAACAUUCCGCCUGGGGACUACGGUCGCAAGAUUAAAACUCAAAGGAAUUGACGGGGACUCGCACAAGCGGUGGAGCAUGUGGUUUAAUUCGAUGCAACGCGAAAAACCUUACCACUUCUUGACAUGGAAAUC
rnacentral:rRNA from 1 species